UACGUAGGGUGCAAGCGUUAAUCGGAAUUACUAGGCGUAAAGCGUGCGCAGGCGGUGAUGUAAGUCAGUUGUGAAAUCCCCGGGCUCAACCUGGGAACUGCAUCUGUGACUGCAUCGCUGGAGUGCGGCAGAGGGGGAUGGAAUUCCGCGUGUAGCAGUGAAAUGCGUAGAUAUGCGGAGGAACACCGAUGGCGAAGGCAAUCCCCUGGGCCUGCACUGACGCUCAUGCACGAAAGCGUGGGGAGCAAACAGG
rnacentral:rRNA from 1 species